rnacentral:rRNA from 1 species
AGUGAACGCUGGCGGCAGGCCUAACACAUGCAAGUCGAGCGGCAGCGCGGUGUAGCAAUACACUGGCGGCGAGCGGCGGACGGGUGAGGAAUGCGUCGGAAUCUGCCUCUUUGUGGGGGA